rnacentral:rRNA from 1 species
UACGUAGGGGGCUAGCGUUGUCCGGAAUCAUUGGGCGUAAAGCGCGCGUAGGCGGCCCGGUAAGUCCGCUGUAAAAGUCAAAGGCUCAACCUUUGAAUGUCAGUGGAUACUGCCGGGCUAGAGUCCGGAAGAGGCGAGUGGAAUUCCUGGUGUAGCGGUGAAAUGCGCAGAUAUCAGGAGGAACACCGAUGGCGAAGGCAGGUCUCUGGGCAUUAACUGACGCUGAGGAGCGAAAGCAUGGGGAGCGAACAGG